UACGGGGGGGGCAAGCGUUGUUCGGAAUUACUGGGCGUAAAGGGCGCGUAGGCGGCUUUUCAAGUCGGGCGUGAAAUCUCCGGGCUUAACCCGGAAGGGUCGUUCGAUACUGUUGAGCUAGAGUGUGGAAGAGGCAACUAGAAUUCCGUGUGUAGCGGUGAAAUGCGUAGAUAUACGGAGGAAUACCUGAGGCGAAGGCGGGUUGCUGGGCCAACACUGACGCUGAGGCGCGAAAGUGUGGGGAGCGAACAGG
rnacentral:rRNA from 1 species